AUGGCAACAGCGCUCCGGGGAGAAAGAGGGGUGGGGGAGUGGGGAGGGCGAGGGCGGCGGCGGCGGCGGCGGCGCCUCCUUCCUGUCACUCAAGAAUGCCCGAGCGCCCCGCCAAGCCGACCCGGCGAGGGCGCGAGGAGGAAAGGAAAGCCGGGCAGUGGGGGGGAUGGCUGGCGGGCGGGCGCGCGCUUUCCUGCCCUCUCCCCCUCCGCCACGUGGGCCUGUUGCCUUCCGUUGGUGGAACGGAAGGAGGAGCGCCGCCGCCGCCGCCUCUACCUGAGCUGCCCAGGUAAGCGAAGCGAGGAAGUACUAUCGUUCCGUCCAAGGGACAGCGGCGGAGGGCGAGGACAACGGAGUCCUGAGGGUCCAGUCCUCCUCGCCCGUGAGGCGUUAAGGCCAGGGAGGGACCGGUUUCCUGCGGCGGAGAGGCCUGUGCCCCCCCCCUCCGAAGAGGGCGUCGGGAGCCUUUGGGUGGAAGGAAGAUUCCCCUCGUGCCCCCCCUCUCCGUCCGCUUCUUUCCAUCCUGAGGGGACCCCAGAAUCUGAGUCCCUGACUGGAUCCGGCACCGACUGCUGAGACCCCCACCCCGACCCGAGUGCCUUGGGUGCCCCCCACUCCCGUGGCCGUUGGGGGGGGGAGAAAAAAGUGGCCGUGGGCGGGUUGGUCUGGCUGGACGGUUGUCAAAUUAUUCGGCUUUAUUAAUUAUUCGCCCCUCGCGUCGUCUUGGCCGAGAUUUGGGGCUGGGCGUAGUGGAGGCCAACCUGCCGGCCUCUUCAGCCCAUCCAGAAGCAGACGAAGGUGUGGAAAGCCUGGUCGUUUUCUUCUGGAGCCCCCCCCCCCCAGUGCCCCCUGUUAAGGGCGGUUUGGGGCGCGUUCAAACGGGAGCGGCCGAGAAGGCGCGCCUGUGCCUUAGGUGUCAACCAGCGAGUCGGUUCCGUGUUGUCCUUCCAGGAACUGCUGCCAAGGGUGAUGUGGAAGGUGGCCGUUUUCAGACAGAUGUUGACACAACGAGGGGAAGGUGUGCCUAAUUUCCAUGACUCAACAGAGGCCAGUUCUUGGUCAGUUGGGCCAUUGAGGUGGUGAGCUUUCAGCUGUGGAUAGAUACCACCUGCAGUAUCAGCUACCUCUGGUAUAUAAAGAAGCUGUAAUUUCUGUAGCAGUGGAUUCAGAUGCUGGUACCUAAUUCUCUGUGUGUACAGUAUAAGUUUACAUAAUUACAAAGCAAGUGCCUAGAAAUGACUGGUGAGAACAGUACCGAUGCACCCUGCAUUGCCCUGUUAAAGUCUGUUGAGUUCAACUGAUCUAACUCCACAGGAAAUAUGUUUAGGAGUGAAAUAUUGGAGCGAUUUAAUAGUUGAGGAGAGGUAAUCAUGUUUCUGACAGAAAAAAAUUCCAGAUGAGAACAUUAACAAUAUGGGUUACUAUACCUUGAUACUGGUUGGUAUCAAGGUGUGUUUGUAUGAUAAAAAUAAAUUCAGCCAGCAGUUUACA
rnacentral:lncRNA from 1 species